UCGAGGGGCAGCACAGGUAGCAAUACCGGGUGGCGACCGGCGCACGGGUGAGUAACGCGUAUGCAACUUACCUAUCAGGGGGGGAUAACCCGGCGAAAGUCGGACUAAUACCGCAUAAAGCAGGGAUCCCGCAUGGGAAAUUUGCUAAAGAUUCAUCGCUGAUAGAUAGGCAUGCGUUCCAUUAGGCAGUUGGCGGGGUAACGGCCCACCAAACCGACGAUGGAUAGGGGUUCUGAGAGGAAGGUCCCCCACAUUGGUACUGAGACACGGACCAAACUCCUACGGGAGGCAGCAGUGAGGAAUAUUGGUCAAUGGGCGUAAGCCUGAACCAGCCAAGUCGCGUGAGGGAUGAAGGUUCUAUGGAUCGUAAACCUCUUUUAUAAGGGAAUAAAGUGCGGGACGUGUCCCGUUUUGUAUGUACCUUAUGAAUAAGGAUCGGCUAACUCCGUGCCAGCAGCCGCGGUAAUACGGAGGAUCCGAGCGUUAUCCGGAUUUAUUGGGUUUAAAGGGUGCGUAGGCGGCCUUUUAAGUCAGCGGUGAAAGUCUGUGGCUCAACCAUAGAAUUGCCGUUGAAACUGGGGGGCUUGAGUAUGUUUGAGGCAGGCGGAAUGCGUGGUGUAGCGGUGAAAUGCUUAGAUAUCACGCAGAACCCCGAUUGCGAAGGCAGCCUGCCAAGCCAUGACUGACGCUGAUGCACGAAAGCGUGGGGAUCAAACAGGAUUAGAUACCCUGGUAGUCCACGCAGUAAACGAUGAUCACUAGCUGUUUGCGAUACACAGUAAGCGGCACAGCG
rnacentral:rRNA from 1 species